GUUCUAUUACGUCCAUCCCAAAAAGUAUGUCUUAGAUUUAUGUAGAUACAGAUGAAUCUAACACUAAAACAUGUCUAGAUACAUUUGUAUUUAGACAAAUCUAAGACAAGCUUUUUGGGACGGGGGAAGUAUAAC
rfam:Triticum aestivum genome assembly, contig: Triticum_aestivum_CS42_TGACv1_scaffold_193587_3AL